rnacentral:rRNA from 1 species
GAAGGGUGCAAGCGUUACUCGGAAUUACUGGGCGUAAAGCGUGCGUAGGUGGUGGUUUAAGUCUGCUGUGAAAGCCCUGGGCUCAACCUGGGAAUUGCAGUGGAUACUGGGUCACUAGAGUGUGGUAGAGGGAUGCGGAAUUUCCGGUGUAGCAGUGAAAUGCGUAGAGAUCGGAAGGAACAUCCGUGGCGAAGGCGGCAUCCUGGGCCAACACUGACACUGAGGCACGAAAGCGUGGGGGAGCAAACAGGAUUAGAUACCCUGGUAGUCCACGCCCUAAACGAUGCGAACUGGAUGUUGGGUGCAACUUGGCACCCAGUAUCGAAGCUAACGCGUUAAGUUCGCCGCCUGGGAGUACGGUCGCAAGCUG